GGCGAACGCUGGCGGCGUGCCUAAUACAUGCAAGUCGAACGCACUCUCGUUUAGAUUGAAGGAGCUUGCUCCUGAUUGAUAAACAUUUGAGUGAGUGGCGGACGGGUGAGUAACACGUGGGUAACCUGCCCUAAAGUGGGGGAUAACAUUUGGAAACAGAUGCUAAUACCGCAUAAAACCUAAACACCGCAUGGUGUAGGGUUGAAAGAUGGUUUCGGCUAUCACUUUAGGAUGGACCCGCGGUGCAUUAGUUAGUUGGUGAGGUAAAGGCUCACCAAGACCGUGAUGCAUAGCCGACCUGAGAGGGUAAUCGGCCACACUGGGACUGAGACACGGCCCAGACUCCUACGGGAGGCAGCAGUAGGGAAUCUUCCACAAUGGACGAAAGUCUGAUGGAGCAACGCCGCGUGAGUGAAGAAGGUUUCGGAUCGUAAAACUCUAGUUGUUGGAGAAGAAUGUAUCUGAUAGUAACUGAUCAGGUAGUGACGGUAUCCAACCAGAAAGCCACGG
rnacentral:rRNA from 1 species